ACGUAGGUGGCAAGCGUUGUCCGGAUUUAUUGGGCGUAAAGCGAGCGCAGGCGGUUUCUUAAGUCUGAUGUGAAAGCCUUCGGCUCAACCGGAGAAGUGCAUCGGAAACUGGGAAACUUGAGUGCAGAAGAGGAGAGUGGAAUUCCAUGUGUAGCGGUGAAAUGCUUAGAUAUAUGGAAGAACACCAGUGGCGAAGGCGGCUAUCUGGACUGUAACUGACGCUGAGGCACGAAAGCGUGGGUAGCAAACAG
rnacentral:rRNA from 1 species